rnacentral:rRNA from 1 species
GGGAAUUUUCCGCAAUGGGCGAAAGCCUGACGGAGCAAUCUCGCGUGAGGGAAGAAGGCCUCUGGGCUGUAAACCUCCUUUCUCAAGGAAGAAGAUCUGACGGUACUUGAGGAAUAAGCCACGGCUAAUUCCGUGCCAGCAGCCGCGGUAAUACGGGAGUGGCAAGCGUUAUCCGGAAUUAUUGGGCGUAAAGCGUCCGCAGGCGGCCUUUCAAGUCUGCUGUUAAAGCGUGGAGCUUAACUCCAUUAAGGCAGUGGAAACUGUUGGGCUUGAGUGUGGUAGGGGCAGAGGGAAUUCCCGGUGUAGCGGUGAAAUGCGUAGAUAUCGGGAAGAACACCAGUGGCGAAGGCGCUCUGCUGGGCCAUAACUGACGCUCAUGGACGAAAGCCAGGGGAGCGAAAGGGAUUAGAUACCCCUGUAGUCA